rnacentral:rRNA from 1 species
UACGUAGGGUCCGAGCGUUGUCCGGAAUUACUGGGCGUAAAGAGCUCGUAGGUGGUUUGUCGCGUUGUUCGUGAAAACUCACAGCUCAACUGUGGGCGUGCGGGCGAUACGGGCAGACUAGAGUACUGCAGGGGAGACUGGAAUUCCGGGUGUAGCGGUGGAAUGCGUAGAGAUCCGGAAGAACACCAGUGGCGAAGGCGGUCUGCUGGGCAGUGGGAGCUUCGGCUCUCUUUAGCCGACACUGAGGCGCGACAGCGUGGGAGCAACAGG